GACGAACGCUGGCGGCGUGCUUAACACAUGCAAGUCGAACGGUAAGGCCCUUCGGGGUACACGAGUGGCGAACGGGUGAGUAACACGUGGGUGAUCUGCCCUGCACUUCGGGAUAAGCCUGGGAAACUGGGUCUAAUACCGGAUAGGACCACUGCCUGCAUGGGUGGUGGUGGAAAGCUUUUGCGGUGUGGGAUGGGCCCGCGGCCUAUCAGCUUGUUGGUGGGGUGAUGGCCUACCAAGGCGACGACGGGUAGCCGGCCUGAGAGGGUGACCGGCCGCACUGGGACUGAGAUACGGCCCAGACUCCUACGGGAGGCAGCAGUGGGGAAUAUUGCACAAUGGGCGCAAGCCUGAUGCAGCGACGCCGCGUGAGGGAUGGCGGCCUUCGGGUUGUAAACCUCUUUCAGCACCGACGAAGCGCAAGGGACGGUAGGUGCAGAAGAAGGACCGGCCAACUACGUGCCAGCAGCCGCCGUAAUAC
rnacentral:rRNA from 1 species